AAAAGUCAAUAAAAUUCACAAAAAAUAAAAAAAUUCACAACGAAUAUUUUAAAUUAUUUUAUUAAUAAAAUAAAUAUAAAAAUACCGAAAAUACAAAAAUUCAUAAAAACUUCAAAACAAAUCAUUCACGAGAAUCAUUUGAAGAUAGUGAAUUUUUUCUAAUCUGAAUUAGAGUAAUCAUAACCCAGAGACUGAUUGCUAUUUUAGAUUUUUUUUUAAUAUGUUAUGUUCUAUGUGUGUGUUGGUUGGAUUUGGAAAAGUUCAGGAUUGUUAAAGGGAAGAAUGUAUACUAAUGAUAGCUAGAGCUUGAUUGCAUGCCGUAUUACCAACCCCAAGCGAGAAUCAGUAAUUUUGCUCUCGUAGUCUUAUCUCACUCUCUCUUUUCGCUAGCUGUAAGCAAUUAAAUUUUUUUUUCAGAGAUUGAUUAGAAGAGGUUAUAGCUUUGAUUUUUUUGCUUUAGAUUCUGUGGUUUUAUUUUUAGAUUUUAUUACUGUAGAACUAAUUUAAAGUUUAAAAGCACUAAACAUAAAACUGUAAAAACAUUAAUUUCUAAAUCAAUUUAUUUCAUUUUCAAGUUUUUGGGCUAUAACUUUAGAUUUUCUUACUAGAGCUUGAUUGCUUUAGUUUUCACUGAAGAGAAUAUUGGAAUUGUAUAGAGCACUCAUGACUAUCACCAAUCAUUCCCUUGAUUUUUUUACAUUUUGGCGCAAGUAAUUACGCAAGUCACGUGGAAUAGUACCACAAAUAAGGGCAAAUAAGUAAUACCAUAUUAAUAACAUAUGAGCAAGUCACGUGUUCGCACGCUCCUUUUUUCGAUAUACAAAUAUAUUAACAUAAACCACAAGGUAAUUUUCUUAUUUUAUUAUAAAUAUACAUUAAAUCUAUAAAUUAUACAUACAUAUAACUCUAAAUAUUAUACAUAUCUAUGCAAUGGCCAUACAAACUGUAUAAUUAAUAUAAGUUUGUAUAUAAUCUAUAAAUUAUGUUAUGUGUGGAACAUUCACAUGAUAAACUGUAUAUUCAAGCAGUAAUAUUUGAUCAAGUUUCUUAUUGACAUUUCCUUUAAAUUAAUUUAUAAUUCUCAAAUUAACAAAACUUUUUUUAGAACAUCAAAAUUAAUUUCAGGCGUAAAACACGCAUCCUUCUAUUUGCUUUUAGGAAAACGAACAAGUCUAAAGCAUUCACAUAUUACAUGAGCAAAGAAUGUGGAAUUUUUCUAAAUUUGAUUCGUUUAAACCGGACCAUAAUAAUGUGAGUAGCUUAAAUUAGAUAUUUUUAUUAUGUAUAUAUGUAAGAAUACUUCUUCUUCUGUUGUAAAAAAAAUAGAACACUUUAUCUAUUUCCUAAAUUUUAACUCACCAUCAAUUCAUUUCUGUUAUCCACAAUGAGGAAAUCCCUUCAACUCUUAUUCACCUUCUUAACCGUAUUCAUCAUUCUUUCAUUAGGAAUGAUGAUAGAUGCACAGAAAAAGGAAACAAAACUAUGUCCUUAUAAAAUCGCACAUAACUCAAAGCAAUGUUUUCCAAUACUAUGUCGAAAUGAGUGUAAGAAGAAAUUCCCACCUAGUGGUAGUGGUGUUUGUUCGGAUUCUAAGGGAUUUUGUGAUUGCAAUGCUCCUUGUAAGGGUUCUCGCUAAAGGUUGUGAAUGUAAUACACAACCCAAAGUCUAUAUUACCUUUUUAACAAUAAAUGUCUAAAUAUUUUGUGUCACUAAAAUAAAGUAUUAUAAUAUUUGUAUCAGAUCUGUGGAUAUAUUUAUAAUAAAUAAUAAUAUGAAUGUUAAAUGAAUGCAAUUCCCAAUAA